AACGAACGCUGGCGGCAGGCCUAACACAUGCAAGUCGAGCGAGGACUUCGGUCCUAGCGGCGGACGGGUGAGUAACGCGUGGGAACGUGCCCUUUGCUUCGGAAUAGCCCUGGGAAACUGGGAGUAAUACCGGAUGAGCCCUUUGGGGGAAAGAUUUAUCGGCGAAGGAUCGGCCCGCGUUGGAUUAGGUAGUUGGUGGGGUAAUGGCCUACCAAGCCGACGAUCCAUAGCUGGUUUGAGAGGAUGAUCAGCCACACUGGGACUGAGACACGGCCCAGACUCCUACGGGAAGCAGCAGUGGGGGAUCUUAGACAAUGGGGGAAACCCUGAUCUAGCCAUGCCGCGUGAGCGAUGAAGGCCUUAGGGUUGUAAAGCUCUUUCAGCUGGGAAGAUAAUGACGGUACCAGCAGAAGAAGCCCCGGCUAACUCCGUG
rnacentral:rRNA from 1 species